AAAAAAAGAAGGGGAAAGAGUUGCAGACAGAAAGAAAUUGAAAUGAAAAAGUUGGGAGACACAGUCGGUAGGCCUCAGGUUAGUCCAAUGGCAUGAAGAACUGAGUUAAAAGAGAAAAGGCCCUGAAGCGACACUUUGCCUUAGCCUAACACUAUUCUGGUCAAGAAGGAAGAGCAAAGAUUUGACAACUACUCCAGUGAGAGGGCAACACUGGACAGAACCCAUGGGAAAGAUUCUCUGUCCGCAGUGACAUUGGAAAAAAAGGCCUGUGUAACCAAAUUGUCCACCACUUCCCCGGUAUCCAAAUUCAUUCCCAUUGUGCCGAAUGGAAACCACUUGUACCGCCGGUACCUGACAUGUACUCCCGGAUUGGAUUGAUGGCUCCGGCAGUGAGGAAGAGGAGAGAACGGAGUCCUGUUUCUUCGUGAAUUUCUCGGCUAUUCCAUCUUCUGUAAAAGUGAAGUUGUGGGGCACUGUGGAAGUCCAGACACACUAUUGGACGGAGCUGUUCGUUCGCUGUCCAAGAAAAUGUCAAAUAAAAUUCUGCCAAAUAAUUUAUAUUAUAGAAUAUACCAUUACCAUGCAUUGCUUUGGGUGGGCAGCCUGCUUCCAAGUUAGCCCCCUACAGUUUAUUUUCUUUCUUUUUUUACAUAAAUGACAUUUCUUUCGCCUUGCAAUUUUGCUACUUUUGUCUGGAAAAUCCCUUUAUAUCAGUAUUUCUGCCAGCAGAAUUGGAAUUUUCAAUUCAGAGAUAAUGUGACAUUUCAUCAAGUUCUGAGAUGUUUUUGUGAAGUUGUUGUGCA
ensembl:lncRNA